rnacentral:rRNA from 1 species
AUUGAACGCUGGCGGCAGGCCUAACACAUGCAAGUCGAACGCGUGGCGGACGGGUGAGUAAUGGCUGGGAAACUGACCGAGGGAGGGGGAUAACGACUGGAAACGGUAGCUAAUACCGCAUACCAUCGGUGAUGCCCAGAUGGGUUUAGCGAGUAGGUGGGGUAACGGCUCACCUAGGCGACGAUCCCUAGAUGGUCUGAGAGGAUGACCCGCCACACUGGAACUGAGACACGGUCCAGACUCCUACGGGAGGCAGCAGUGGGCAAUAUUGCACAAUGGGCGCAAGCCUGAUGCAGCCAUGCCGCGUGUAUGAAGAAGGCUGUCGGGUUGUAAAGUACUUUCAGCGAGGAGGCGUUGCUCGCAGAAGGAGCAUCGGCUAACUCCGAGCCAGCAGCCGCGGUAAUUC